rnacentral:lncRNA from 1 species
CCCGCAUUGUAUUUUGUUAUAGAGCUGUUUUUAAUAUGCCUAAUUUGCAUGUUACAUUAAAACAAAAGAGGGUACAUAUAUAGGCAGCAAUUUUGUAAUCGAGGGGAACAAAGCUCAAUAAAGUCGUAAUCCUCCAGCAGCAAAUAACAGAAUUAUUUAACUAGUAAUCCAAACAAAAUUUACUUGUAAGAAAAACUUUUUAAUCACUAUAACCUUCAACAAAACGUGAACUACAUUGUGACAACCCUCACAUACCCAACACACUGGUAAUAAACCAAAGUUCUUACCAUGCCGUCGUAACGGUCUCCAGGUCUCCCUCUUCUGUCAUAGGCCAUGAGGGCUCAUAUCAUCAUAAUCUCUUCUAGAUGGAGGCAUGGGACGCCCACCCCGACCAGGAGGCAUUCUGUCAAAACCACCUCUUCCCCGCAUGGGAAAUCC